AGUUCCUCUCCUCUUCCUUCUUCAUUUGGGGCAGUUUGAGCUUACCCUAGACUCACCCAUCUUUUCCAAAUCGGCACAUCACCUCUCCAAAAUCUUUGCCUCUCCACUAGAAUCUUUUUCUCUCUCCCUCACAUUUAGUCUCCAAAGCUCCGUGCAAGUCCUUCUUAUGCAAAUGGCUCCCAAAAUGAAGCUUCCACAAAGGAGAAAAUCUGUUCGU
rnacentral:lncRNA from 1 species